UGGGGAAUAUUGCACAAUGGGGGAAACCCUGAUGCAGCGACGCCGCGUGAACGAAGAAGGUAUUCGUAUCGUAAAGUUCUGUCCUAUGGGAAGAUAAUGACAGUACCAUAGAAGAAAGCUCCGGCUAAAUACGUGCCAGCAGCCGCGGUAAUACGUAUGGAGCGAGCGUUGUCCGUAAUUAUUGGGCGUAAAGGGUACGCAGGCGGUUUAAUAAGUCGAAUGUUAAAGAUCGGGGCUCAACCCCGCAAAGCAUUAGAAACUGAUAAACUUGAGUAGUGGAGAGGAAAGUGGAAUUCCUAGUGUAGUGGUGAAAUACGUAGAUAUUAGGAGGAAUACCAGUAGCGAAGGCGACUUUCUGGACACAAACUGACGCUGAGGUACGAAAGCGUGGGGAGCAAACAGG
rnacentral:rRNA from 1 species